rnacentral:misc_RNA from 1 species
UUUCCCAAGCACUGGCGCUAUUAUAUCGCGAUCAAGUGGCUGUUGAUUGUUGCAGCCAUCGCGCUUGCGCUCAAACUCGUCAACGUCUGGUAAGACAAUGGGCCAAUCUAUUCCCAAAGUCGGCUUGCGGCCGUUUCUUCCCGAAGACACUCCGGUGCUCGCGGCGAUCUUCGUCGCCAGCAUCGAUGAGCUGGCCGAGGAGGAUUAUUCGGACGCGCAGCGUGAGGCCUGGGCGCGUGCCGCCGAGGAUGAAGACAAAUUCGGCAAGCGGCUUGCGGGCCAGUUGACGCUGGUGG